AAUGGAUCAAUGAUGCACGAUAAAAUACUGCGUUAUCUAUCUGGAAAGUCCUUAAAGGACUUGAAGAUAACUGUAAUUUGCUGAGAUCCCCU